UAAAUUCGAUCCUUAGUAGGUAGUACGAGUAUUCACUAUUAAGUCGUACCUAUUAGCCAAUAGGCUCUCGUUAUUUUUACGCAUUUUUUUCCUUUGCAGGAGUUCGACCUUCGUAUUUCCUGUUUCACUUUAAAAGGCUAUCCACACAUAAUGGAUAGAUUGUGUUUGACUAUAGAUUUAAACGACGGCGGUAACCAUGAAAAAUUUAAGCUGUCGCUACAAAGAUUCAUUAGAGAUGUGGUGCACGAGCAGAAAUGCCGAGACACGAACUGCCGGUUUUCAAACUGCCAACGCACGAAAAAAAAUUUUCUACAUAACAAGCAUUGCAAGUUGAGAGUGAACAGUUGCCCACUUUGCGAGCGGGUAAUAACGGCUUUGUGUUAUCAUGCCGCAUAGUUAUUGUGAAGACUCAAAAUGUGAUGUGCGUGGAUGUCUGUUUAUAAAAACAAACACGAAACUUACAAAAACAAAGGCACGAAUUUCGAGUAGUUCCGCAUCAGGAAUUCAGGAGUGCCGUCAACGGAAUUCGCCGAGCAAAGACAGCAGCAGGAACCAUCACUCGCUCUCGCUGGAACCGCCUUCGCAGCAGUGAUAAGAGUUGCAAUAUUCAGAAAGACAACGCAUCAGUAACUGUAACAGUGUCCUGUCCAUUGUAAAGCCAUCUACCGUUACCAAGAAAUCCUUCAGAUUUUCUUUUUGUAAGUCGUUGUCGUCAUCUCUGCAGAGUUCUAUAUGUCACCCUUCUGAUGUUACCUAUGUGUUUAAUUCUUGGGCAUUAUUGCUAUCUUCACUUGACAUUUUUAGAUCCCAUUUUUCAUUUUUAGAAUUUUACCAGAAUUACAAAAAAGAUUCGCCUUCGUUUCUUUACAUUGUGUAGUACA